UUAAUUUAAUUUCCAACUUGCAAUUAAUUUAAGAGGACCGUCCGCUUGGAAAACCAACGACUUUUGAAAGGCCCAGAUCACACUGAGAUAAAUCAACUGGGUUUGAUUAAAGUCUGAAGCUUUUGUAUAAUUUGGGUUUGAUUUGCAUUUAUUUAAUCUGCAUCACAAUUGCUUGCCGAUCUGUGAAAAAAGGGAAAAUUUUUGUCGAUGAUUUUUGUGAAUUUUCAGGGAUUCUGUUUCGUAAAGUUUUCGGGUUUUUUUUCGUGAUCUGCGGUCGUGUUUUGUGUGUUUCUAAUCCGUGAAUUUCUUAUGUUUUGUGGCGAUUAGACUCUCAAAAAGUUUGGCGGGCUUCAUCAACGAGAUCAAAGCUGAUCAAAAUGUUCUCUUUGAUUUGGUCUAGGAAAUUGUGUAUUCUAAAGGGCGUGUUCCCUCAGGAGCCAAAGAAGAAGGUGAAGGGAAAUCACCAUACCUAUUAUCACUUGAAGGAUGUCUCUUUCAUUCAGCAUGAACCGCUACUCGAGCGGUUGAGAGAGAUAAGAGCAUACGAAAGAAAAGAAAGCCGAUGCGAAGAAAAACAAGUAACGGGCUGCUCUCCAGAAGACCCACUUACAAAUUAGAUAGAAUUAUUUUGCAGAGAUAUCCAAAAUUCGUUGACGCACUCAGAGAUAUUGAUGACUGCCUCACAAUGGUUCACCUCUUUGUGGCAUUACCUGCUAUUGAGGACAGAAUUGAUGUCAAACGCAUUCAUAACUGUCGAAGUUUGAGUCUACUCAGUUCUGCGGAUUCACUCAAUUGCAAUAAUCUCUUCUGCAACACUUGCACCGUGAAAUCGAUGAAAUCGGGUUCCAUUUGUCCAGUUUAUAAAAUUCCAUAUCGACGCAGAGGCACUGGGAAGACUACUCUGUCUACGGAUCAUAAUCAGUAUCUGAUUGGAGAUGAUGAGCACUGCUGGAGCAACAAUGGUGUGUCAAACAUUAAAGGUGGUUGCUAUGCCAAUGCCAAGUGCAUUGAUUUGUUAAGGGACAAGGAACCAGAUAUUUGGAAUGCUAUCAAAUUUGGGAUUGGAUCUUGGUGGAUCACUAGGAAGAGAUGCAGCAACCGGAAGAGGAGUACUUUUUUGCGACAGAGGCUUUACUCAAUGAGUAUGUAAAGAGCAUCUCCGGACAACGGUGUGUUAUACAGGUUCGUAAUAAUAGCUAGCUAGAGAAGCGAAUUGAAGUAGCUGCUUUUAGCUUCUGAGGCAGACACUUGAAGAAGGAGCAAAGAUGAAUGCAUUAGUGGCAACGAACAGAAACUUUAAGUUGGCUGCUCGGCUUUUGGGAUUGGACUCCAAGCUCGAGAAAAGUUUACUUAUACCAUUUAGGGAAAUCAAGGUUGAGUGUACUAUACCAAAACACAAUGGCAGUUUGGCUUCAUAUGUUGGCUUCAGGGUUCAACAUGACAAUGCUAGAGGCCCCGUAAAGAGAGGAAUCAGAUAUCACCCAGAGGUUGAUCCGGAUGAGGUGAAUGCUUUAGCACAGCUGAUGACAUGGAAGACGGCCGUAGCCAACAUCCCAUAUGGGGGUGUCAAAGGAAGAAGAACAGAGCAACAUCGGCGAAGAUCUCAAGGGUUUGCGGAUCCAUGAAUGACAAGGGCAUUACUAUAUUGCGUAUUUUCCUAUCAAAUCCAACGGGUCGAGGCAGGCUAGAGCUGGUAUAGAAUACGAAAAUUAGUUUUGCAUAGCUGUAAUUUUGAUUGGUGAGGUCGGCCUAAUUUAAAAAUAGAACAGCCAUCUUUCAAUUCAAUAGUAAAAGCCCGCAUUCAAAUAUGAGUUUUGCAUAGCACUAUAAACAGUAUGUAUAGUUACAGAAUUGCUAUUUUGAUUGGUAGCUCUGUUGAUUUUUGUCAAGUUGAUUUGAAUUUAUACCGAAUUUACUUAAUUUUAGUACAAUUAUUUGCUUUCUGGUA